UUGAGUAGGACAGAAGGUUUGGAGACGCGUUUACCGCGCCCAAGUAGUUCUGGGAGACCAGGAGAUGAUGUAUCAGCAGGUGAAAUAAUGGGUAUUUGCGGAGAAGGUGAUGGAAGUGAAGGUGAUGAUGUAGGUGAUGAUGAUGAUGUAGGUGAUGAUGGGGAUGGUGUAGUGGUAGUAUCGGGAGUUUGUGUAGGUGAAGGCUGUGUGAUCGCUGCAGGAGGUAGUGAUGGCGUAGUUAUAGGUAUUGGAAGUGAGGAAACAGGAGGUAUGGGUAUAGGAGGUGGAGAUGGUGUGGUUAAAGGGAGUAGAGGUAUGGUAGAAGUAGGUGGAACCACUGUAGGUCGUGGCUCUGGUGAAGUAGUUGGGCUUGACGAUAAGUCCCAAUCAUCAAUGAUUGGAGAUGGU
rnacentral:lncRNA from 1 species